CUUUUCCGUUCUUAUCAUGUGUAUAGUAGUUUUUGCUUAUGAAAAUGCAAAUUUUAUAGAUUUUGUAUAACGGGUUUUCUUACUUUUGCAAGCUUUCUUGAUGUGUGCAAAAAGGCUUUGCAUUAGUUCAUUGAUGCUUUGUGUUUGUAUUUAUAAAAAAAAAUUGAUGCUUUGUUUGCAUUUUCAUCAUGUUGAUUUGUUUGUGUAUGUGCAUAUUCAUAAUCAUCUUAUGAUUUGUCAAAUAAAUGUUUUUUUUUUUUUUUUUUUGGUGGUCUAUGAGAUAUAUUUUAGCUUGCAAAAUCCAAUGAACUGCAAUUGUGAUGUUUUGAUUUAAUAAUUUGUCAGAGCUUUCGUUAUAAGGAUUUUCCUUUAAUGAAAAAUAUACUUGCUCCUACUUAUUCUUCAGCUGUGACUUUGCUCACUGAUAUGGAAAUGGUUAUCUGAUAUUUUCUUUUGGAAUUGGAAUUGUGUGAGUUGUUUUGAGCAGUUGGUUAAGUGGUUUUCAAUUAAAUCAGCUGGUAAUAAUUUGAGAAGCAAGGUUAUGAAACAGAUUUUUACCACUACUAUUUGGCAUAUGUGGUGGUCUAGAAAUAGAAGACUCCAUGUUGAUGUUUCCUCUGCUCCUACCCAAGCUGCUAAACAAGUUAUGUGGAAUGUAUCUGAUUCUUUGGGAUUGCAGCUGCAGGAUUUAUUGGUCUUCUUAAUUGUUGACCGUUGGUCGUUCUGCAUCUGGGGCUGUGUGUGCAGGGUUCUGGCUUUGAAUAAGAAAUUGCAGUGCUGUGGUUCAGGUGGUUGUGGCCCUUGUCUUAUUUGCUGGGAUCAUGGUGUUUUUGUUUUUGUUAAUCCUUUCUCUUUUUCUGAAUUUUUUGUUUGCAUUUUCAUUGAUGUUGAUUUGUUUGUGUAUGUGCAUAUUCAUAAUCAUCUUAUGAUUUGUCAAAUAAAUGUUUUUUUGUUUUUUUUUUGGUGGUCUAUGAGAUAUAUUUUAGCUUGCAAAAUCCAAUGAACUGCAAUUGUGAUGUUUUGAUUUAAUAAUUGCUGAAAGAACAUUAUUUGUUUCUAAUUGCUCUGCGUUUAUGCUACAAUAGUACUUCCACAGUUCUGAUUGAUUAUGGAUGUUUCUCAUAUUCGUAUAAUGUUUUAAAACUGGUUAAAUACCUAUUAAUGUUUCUGUAAUUUUGUGCCUUGGUUUACUUAGUGAUGUUAUUUUUUUUUAGGUGCUUAAGAUGUGAAAUAUCUUUCUUUGUCAUUUCUUCAGCAUAAUCCAUGGAGAUUGGCUGCUGUAGGAGUUCACUAUUUGUAUCAGCUAGGAUCAACUCUUUAGUACGUUGUGUUCUUCUUCUUCUAGUUUGUAUACUCUUCCCCCUCCUUGCUUAGCUAUGAACCAUAAAAGCAUUUUUUCAAACAUGAACUUGUGUUAUUACAGAAUCUUGGUGAAGAUACAUUGGUCGGAGUGUAUUCGUUUUUAUGUUUUUUUUUUCUUUCUUUUUUCUCUUUUCAUCAUUUGUCAUGGUAUGUUCUUGUAAGUUGAUAGUAGUUAUUUCUUCGCUUGGAUUAGAAAAGUUUUUUAUUGGGGUUGUUGGGGGGUUGAUGAUAGCGUGGAAGCUAGAUUACACAUGUAUCAGGAAGUUUUCUCCAAGUUUCAGUAACCAUCAUCUACGUUUUAAUCCUCUGCUGAUAAGACUAUCUGUUUUAUCCCUAUAGUUCAUAUUCUAUUAGAGACCUAAACACAAAUUACAUUCUUUCGGUAAAUCCUGAAAUCUUUCCAUCUUCAUGUCCUUCAUUUGAAAAAAUAUUGCAUCAAUUUUGGCUAUAUUUUGAGUAUUUCACCUUUGCAUUUAGUUCAUGCAUACUGCCAUGAAUUAUUGGAGGCCCAUGAAUACUGCAUGAAGUCUAAGAGAACAGGAAAAGAUGCUGAACUUACUCUCGGGUAUUAGUAAUUUGUCUGCUUAAAGGGAUCCUUUUGCUGAAAAUGGGAGAAAAGUGCUAAUUAUGAAAAGGAACCAAGGUCAUUUCCUUGUUAAUGGAUGUUCAGGCUUUGUGAUUUUCCUUUAAAUGCUCAGGGAUUCUUACUGUUUUCUUCUUAUUUUUUAAAUGCUCAGGGAUCCUUUUGAUGAAAAUGGGAUGAUAGAUGAAAAGUGCUAAUUAUGAAAAGGAACCAAGGUCAUUUCCUUGUUAAUGUAUGUUCAGGUUUUGUGAUUUUCCUUUAUGUAACAACCUAGUAAUACUGUCAUUUAAAUGAUGCUUUUGUUUUAUUUCUCUAUUGUAGGAAGUAUUUUGUUUUGUUUGAUUUAAAUAUUGUGAAACAUGGAGUUCAUUUGAAGUAACCAACUUAACUAAGUUUGUUUUGUAGUUUAUCUUUUUUCUCCUAUUGAUUGUAUGUAAACAAGUUAAAUAAGUUUGUAUUAUCAUUUUUU